UGGUUCUUUUGGGUUUACUGGAGUUUGCUCAGUAUAUACAAAAACGACAGCUAGCAUCUUUUAAAGAAAUAUCUAAAUUAGCUUCAUUCUUUGCAGCAGAUCAAAACAACAACUUGGCAGCCCUUGGAGAUGUGUCAGAUGGAUAUUGCAUGUUUUGGAAGUGAUAAACUCAUCAAAUACUACUAUAAGAUAUUAAUAGACAAGAAGAAUGUGCAGGGAAAAAUGGAUGACAUCUCAAAAACAAAAACAACAAAAUUAAGGUAAGUCACAGUACUGAAGACAGGCAGCAGCAGUGAGGACACAGGGAGCGCAGAUGAUCCAAAUGGAAACCUUGAAUCAUUUUGACAUGAGAUCCGAAGGUGAGACCAGAAAUAAUAUAGAGAUAAAUAACACACAUAUCAAACUCUAGUACAAAACAUUGAACAGGAAUGUAAUUUCACAUGGCAGAUCAGAUAAUGCAGGAAAAACACCAUAAAAGGAGCAUCUGAAGAUGUUUCUGAUGGAUGUUGGGCAAGUUGCCUCUGUAUACAAAUCCUACUAUAUGGCAUGCAUAGAAACACCCUUAAAGGAGUAUAUGAAGAAAUGACCAACUGAUGAAGAGCUGCUUCUGUAUUAACAAAUGCUACUAUAUGGCAUGCAUAGGUAGGCCUAUAUAUUUUUCCUCAAAGCGUUGGAUGCAUAAAACACCCUUAAAGGAGCAUCCGAAGAAAUAGGCAACUGAUGAAGAGCUGCUUCUGUAUUAACAAAUGAUAAAAACACCCUUAAAGGAGCAUCUGAAGAAAGGACCAACUGAUGAAGAUCUGAAGAAUUUGCCAACUGAUGAAGACCUGCUUUUGCAUCAACAAAUCCUACUAUAUUGCAUCUAAAGGAGCAUCUGAAGAAAGGACCAACUAAUGAAGAUCUGAAGAAAUUGCCAACUGAUGAAGAGCUGCUUCUGCAUCAACAAAUCCAACUAUAUUGCAUCUAAAGGACCAUCUAAGGAAAAUGACCAACUGAUGAAGAUCUGAAGAAUUUGCCAACUGAUGAAGAGCUGCUUCUGCAUCAACAAAUGCUACUAUAUGGCAUCUAUAGGUAGGCCUAUAUAUUUCCCUCAAAGGUUUGUAUGCAUAAGAACACGCUUGUAGGAGCAUCUGAAGAAAUGGGCAACUGAUGAAGAGCUGUUUCUGUAUUAACAAAUCAUAAAAACACCCUUAUAGGAGCAUCUGAAGAAAUGACCAACUAAUGAAGAUCUGAAGAAAUUGCCAACUGAUGAAGAGCUGCUUCUGCAUCAACAAAUCCAACUAUAUUGCAUCUAAAGGAGCAUCUGAAGAAAUGAUCAACUGAUGAAGACCUGAAGAAUUUGCCAACUGAUGAAGACCUGCUUCUGCAUCAACAAAUGCUACUAUAUGGCAUCUAUAGGUAGGCCUAUAUAUUUCCCUCAAAGGUUUGUAUGCAUAAGAACACGCUUGUAGGAGCAUCUGAAGAAAUGGGCAACUGAUGAAGAGCUGUUUCUGUAUUAACAAAUCAUAAAAACACCCUUAUAGGAGCAUCUGAAGAAAUGACCAACUAAUGAAGAUCUGAAGAAAUUGCCAACUGAUGAAGAGCUGCUUCUGCAUCAACAAAUCCAACUAUAUUGCAUCUAAAGGAGCAUCUGAAGAAAUGAUCAACUGAUGAAGACCUGAAGAAUUUGCCAACUGAUGAAGACCUGCUUCUGCAUCAACAAAUGCUACUAUAUUGCAUCUAAAGGACCAUCUAAGGAAAAUGACCAACUGAUGAAGAUCUGAAGAAUUUGCCAACUGAUGAAGACCUGCUUCUGCAUCAACAAAUGCUACUAUAUUGCAUCUAAAGAGAGAGACAUGGACAAACAGGAACAGUGAGGAAACAGGGAGCGCAGAUGACUGGAAUGGAAACACUGAUUCAUUUUAACAUCUGAUCCAAAG